rnacentral:rRNA from 1 species
GAUGAACGCUGGCGGCGUGCUUAACACAUGCAAGUCGAACGGGAAACAUUUUAUUGAAGCUUCGGCAGAUUUAGCUUGUUUCCAGUGGCGGACGGGUGAGUAACGCGUGGGGAACCUGCCUUAUACUGGGGGAUAACAGCCAGAAAUGGCUGCUAAUACCGCAUAAGCGCACAGAGGCGCAUGCCUCAGUGUGAAAAACUCCGGUGGUAUAAGAUGGACCCGCGUUGGAUUAGCUUGUUGGCGGGGUAACGGCCCACCAAGGCGACGAUCCAUAGCCGGCCUGAGAGGGUGAACGGCCACAUUGGGACUGAGACACGGGCCCAGGACUCCUACGGGAGGCAGCAGUGGGGAAUAUUGCACAAUGGGGGAAACCCUGAUGCAGCGACGCCGCGUGAAGGAAGAAGUAUCUC